CAUGCAUCUCUCAACAUGGCAACAGCUGACACGGCGGGUCGCAGCUGAUAGUAAAAACAACGGCAGCACUGUAAACAGAGCUAACAGUGUUAACCUGGGGGGAACCGGAGGGUGUGUGUGCUACGCGUCAGCAACGGCACCGUUGGUCAAGACGGCAUUAUCAGCUGUAACCGCCAUAUGAGAGUAGUGCAGAGCAGUGACCAUGAGCUAGCCAGUGGGGCACGCUCACAUCCAAUGAACAUGCACUAAAAUGGCACACACGGCCGGCCCGGGGAUGUCAACAAAGCAUGGAGAAGCUCGGACUUCGGACACUCAAAGAGAGAUAGUGACUUCUUUCUCUGCUCAGAACUGCCCGGUCACUUUAAGCGUCGGCGUUGGCCUGGUGGGGAGAGAAACUGUCCUGUAAAUGAAAAGGUCACAGGUCCAAUCCCAACAACAGUUUAUGUGUGCAUCACUGCGGAGGAGGACAUUCACGUCGUACUCUCCACAGGGAGCGAGAUGCAUCAUGCAUGUACAUCCAUCUCAGAGGAAUACGCAAAGAAAAAAAGACACUUCAUUACUCGACUUUACUGUCCUGUGUGUUAGGGCUGCACAAUAUAUCAUUAUUUUAUCGUCAUUGUGAGGUCAACUUGCACAAUAAACACAGCGCAAAAGAC